rnacentral:rRNA from 1 species
ACGACGCUGGCGGCGUGCUUAACACAUGCAAGUCGAACGAUGAACCAGGGCUUGCCCUGGGGAUUAGUGGCGAACGGGUGAGUAACACGUGGGCAACCUGCCCCAGACACCGGGAUAACCUCUCGAAAGAGUGGCUAAUACCGGAUAUGACCACUUCGGGCAUCCGACGGUGGUGGAAAGGAUUCUGGUCUGGGAUGGGCCCGCGGCCUAUCAGCUAGUUGGUGGGGUAAUGGCCUACCAAGGCGACGACGGGUAGCCGGCCUGAGAGGGCGACCGGCCACACUGGGACUGAGACACGGCCCAGACUCCUACGGGAGGCAGCAGUGGGGAAUAUUGCGCAAUGGGCGAAAGCCUGACGCAGCGACGCCGCGUGAGGGACGAAGGUCUGCGGAUUGUAAACCUCUUUCAGCAGGGACGAAGCGAAAGUGACUGUACCUGCAGAAGAAGCACCGGCUAACUACGUG